AAGAGUCCUGAAGUGGCACUUGGACUUGAGGAGGAUUUCCAGCAGAGGUAGCUCCUAUUAUGUCCUUGUGCUCUUGGCUGGCCUUGGGGUAAACAGAACACCUGAGAAAGCACAGACUGGAGGAGGCCGGGAUGUGCCAAGCACCAGCUGGAUCUGCUCCCCAGUAAAGUCACAGAGGCAGGAGAGUUACCAUUUGUACCUCUCCCUUUGGGCAUUUUCGGAUAAAGAGCUGGGACUGGUCUGCAGCCUGUUUCCAUAGGAGAAGUGCUCCAGUCCUCUUAUCAUCUCCAUGACCCUCUGGAGACACUCCAGUAGGCCCAUGUUGUUUUUAUGCUGUGAGCACUAGAGGAGAACGCAGGAUUCCAGAUCCAAGUCAACAGAGGCAUAGAAGUCCCUCCAAGUCUGUGCUCUGCAGGGGCCUGGACUCUUCAGAUAACUCUUCAUUUGCUUAGGU